rnacentral:rRNA from 1 species
AUUGAACGCUGGCGGCAGGCUUAACACAUGCAAGUCGAGCGGGGUGAUGGUGCUUGCACUAUCACUUAGCGGCGGACGGGUGAGUAAUGCUUAGGAAUCUGCCUAUUAGUGGGGGACAACAUCUCGAAAGGGAUGCUAAUACCGCAUACGUCCUACGGGAGAAAGCAGGGGAUCACUUGUGACCUUGCGCUAAUAGAUGAGCCUAAGUCGGAUUAGCUAGUUGGUGGGGUGAAGGCCUACCAAGGCGACGAUCUGUAGCGGGUCUGAGAGGAUGAUCCGCCACACUGGGACUGAGACACGGCCCAGACUCCUACGGGAGGCAGCAGUGGGGAAUAUUGGACAAUGGGGGGAACCCUGAUCCAGCCAUGCCGCGUGUGUGAAGAAGGCCUUAUGGUUGUAAAGCACUUUAAGCGAGGAGGAGGCUACUUUAGUUAAUACCUAGAGAUAGUGGACGUUACUCGCAGAAUAAGCACCGGCUAACUCUGUGCCAGCAGCCGCAGUAACAC